rnacentral:rRNA from 1 species
UACGUAGGUGGCAAGCGUUGUCCGGAAUGAUUGGGCGUAAAGCGCGCGCAGGCGGUCCUUUAAGUCUGAUGUGAAAGCCCACGGCUCAACCGUGGAGGGUCAUUGGAAACUGGGGGACUUGAGUGCAGGAGAGAAGAGUGGAAUUCCACGUGUAGCGGUGAAAUGCGUAGAGAUGUGGAGGAACACCAGUGGCGAAGGCGACUCUGUGGCCUGUAACUGACGCUGAGGCGCGAAAGCGUGGGGAGCAAACAGG